GCGAGCAGGUGCGAAAGCAGGUCAUAGUGAUCCGGUGGUUCUGAAUGGAAGGGCCAUCGCUCAACGGAUAAAAGGUACUCCGGGGAUAACAGGCUGAUACCGCCCAAGAGUUCAUAUCGACGGCGGUGUUUGGCACCUCGAUGUCGGCUCAUCACAUCCUGGGGCUGAAGUAGGUCCCAAGGGUAUGGCUGUUCGCCAUUUAAAGUGGUACGCGAGCUGGGUUUAGAACGUCGUGAGACAGUUCGGUCCCUAUCUGCCGUGGGCGCUGGAGAACUGAGGGGGGCUGCUCCUAGUACGAGAGGACCGGAGUGGACGCAUCACUGGUGUUCGGGUUGUCAUGCCAAUGGCACUGCCCGGUAGCUAAAUGCGGAAGAGAUAAGUGCUGAAAGCAUCUAAGCACGAAACUUGCCCCGAGAUGAGUUCUCCCUGACUCCUUGAGGGUCCUGAAGGAACGUUGAAGACGACGACGUUGAUAGGCCGGGUGUGUAAGCGCAGCGAUGCGUUGAGCUAACCGGUACUAAUGAACCGUGAGGCUUAACCUU
rnacentral:rRNA from 1 species